CAUGGAUUGGAUGAUUUCUUUUAUCUGCCUCCUUACAGCCAAUAUCUCCCAUUUGUCCAUUGUAGAUAACAGCAAGUGGGAUUUUAGUUUGGAUAUUGGUGAAUAGGAGCUCAAAAUGCAGUAUUCCUGAACUGGUAAUGUCACUUUACCUCAGCCAUCCAAAUUUC